ensembl:lncRNA
UCGGGGCGCACGUCACAUCGCUGCGACGGCUGUGACGCUGGGAGACGGGUCGCCCUGCUCAGCGUGCCGUGGGUGCAUCCGUGUUGGCGGGAGUGAUGACGUCACGUCUGCUCUCUCCAAACGUCCGUGAAUGAACGGAGCUUCUCGCCGGGUGCGGUGGCGCGCGCCUGUAAUCCAAGUUACCGGGAGGCUGAGGCUGGAGGAUCGUUUGAGCUCAGGAGCUCUGAGCUGCAGCGGACUAUGCCGAUCGGGUGUCCGCGCUAAGUUCGGUAUCGAUAUGGUGCUCCUGAGGGAGCCCGGGACCACCAGGUCGUCUAAGGAGGGGUGCACCGGCCCAGGUCGGAGACGGAGCAGGUCAAAGCCCCCGUGCCGUUCAGUAGUGGGAUCGCGCCUGUGAAUAGACGCUGUAGUGCAGCCUGAGUAAUACAGCGGG